UCGGGAAUUUUGGGCAAUGGGCGAAAGCCUGACCCAGCAACGCCGCGUGAGGGAUGAAGUAUUUCGGUAUGUAAACCUCGAAAGAAUGGGAAGAAUAAAUGACGGUACCAUUUAUAAGCACCGGCUAACUCCGUGCCAGCAGCCGCGGUAAUACGGAGGGUGCGAGCGUUAUCCGGAUUUACUGGGUUUAAAGGGUGCGUAGGUGGGCUUAUAAGUCAGUGGUGAAAUCUCCGAGCUUAACUUGGAAACUGCCGUUGAUACUAUAGGUCUUGAAUUAUCUGGAGGUAAGCGGAAUAUGUCAUGUAGCGGUGAAAUGCUUAGAUAUGACAUAGAACACCAAUUGCGAAGGCAGCUUACUACAUAUAAAUUGACGCUGAGGCACGAAAGCGUGGGGAUCAAACA
rnacentral:rRNA from 1 species